rnacentral:rRNA from 1 species
UACGAAGGGGGCUAGCGUUGUUCGGAAUUACUGGGCGUAAAGCGCACGCAGGCGGUUCGGUCAGUCAGAAGUGAAAGCCCCGGGCUUAACCUGGGAACUGCUUUUGAUACUGCCGAGCUUGAAUCACGGAGAGGGUAGUGGAAUUCCGAGUGUAGAGGUGAAAUUCGUAGAUAUUCGGAAGAACACCAGUGGCGAAGGCGACUACCUGGCCGUCGAUUGACGCUCAUGUGCGAAAGCGUGGGGAG